rnacentral:rRNA from 1 species
AGGAAAAGAAACCAACCGGGAUUGCCCUAGUAACGGCGAGUGAAGCGGCAAGAGCUCAAAUUUGAAAGCUGGCUCCUUCGGGGUCCGCAUUGUAAUUUGCAGAGGAUGCUUCGGAAUCGGCCCCCAUCUAAGUGCCCUGGAACGGGCCGUCAUAGAGGGUGAGAAUCCCGUCUGGGAUGGGGUGUCCGUGCCCGUGUGAAGCUCCUUCGACGAGUCGAGUUGUUUGGGAAUGCAGCUCUAAUUGGGUGGUAAAUUUCAUCUAAAGCUAAAUAUUGGCCGGAGACCGAUAGCGCACAAGUAGAGUGAUCGAAAGAUGAAAAGCACUUUGAAAAGAGAGUUAAAAAGCACGUGAAAUUGUUGAAAGGGAAGCGCUUGCGACCAGACUCGCCCGCGGGGUUCAGCCGGCAUUCGUGCCGGUGUACUUCCCCGCGGGCGGGCCAGCGUCGGUUUGGGCGGCCGGUCAAAGGCCCCUGGAAUGUAACGCCUCUCGGGGCGUCUUAUAGCCAGGGGUGCCAUGCGGCCUGCCCGGACCGAGGAACGCGCUUCGGCUCGGACGCUGGCAUAAUGGUCGUAAGCGACCCGUCUUG